UUAUGGUUUAGAUCAACAAUUAUUAACGUAUAAUUGGCUGAUUAAGUUUAGAAUUUGUUCCUGUUGAGCGAUACGAGGGCGCUUAAUUAUUUUUGGGAUCCAAAAUUUCAUUUUGCCGAUUAAUUGAUUACUUUGGCGCUGAAAAUGAAUUCCCCAAAUGAAAGAAAACGCCCAAUCCCUUCCCCUCUAUUUCUCUUGCGCUCUCAGCUCCUGCUUGCAUAUGCCCUCAGGUGGUGGAUACUCCAUAGCUGAGGAUAAGUUUGACUUGCUAGGAGAUCCUAUCGAUGUUGAAAAUGCAGUGGCAACGCAACGUGGACGGAGGCUGAGCAACCACAACUUCAUUUUGCACAAAAAAAUACAAGAAACUUAGAGAAAUGAGCGGGGAAGAGUAUGCUAGAAACAACCCACCAGUGAACAAGCUUAAUAACUAAGAUGUGGGUUGUUCCAAUAUAACAGAGCAAGUGGAAGGAAAUGAAGCAGCAAACAAUAAGACAGAUGAGCUAGUAGAGGCAAAAGAGGAACAUGGGAGGACUUUGGCUAGUGUUAUGGCAUUUCUUAAACACCAAGGAUUCAUCAGUUAACGACUUACUGAUUGAAUAUGCAUAAGUUUGGUAGCGGGGAAGAUGGUAUAUAUACGCUCUACUACGAAGACUUUUUGUUUGGAUAUAUGCUUAUAUGAAGGCUCUUUUUUUGGAUGAAGUUCCGAGUCUUCUUUUCUGGAUAUAUGCUUCUAUGAAGACUCAUUUUUGGUUGAAGUUUCGAGUCUUCUUUUUUUGUUUUAAUGAUGCUACUGAACUAUGAUAAACAUAUAUGGUAUGGUCUACCUUUCAUGUUUUUUUCAUGGGGACGUUGAUGCUUUAGACCCUAUAGGUGGAUGGACAAUUUGGUGUAGAGUACAUAGUUCUCGUGGUUAAUGGAUGUCUAAUUUGAACAUGAUUAUAUUGGUUUAUGAAGAUGUGUUGGCUAUUA